UUGACCUUCUUGUGUGUUUCUCUGUAGAAUUCAGAGGAACAGGAUAGGAUGGGAAGAGAGGAAACAGUUCAUUUUAGGAUAAACAGGAGGAGGAGGAGUCAAAUAUGGCACCAAUGGUUUGGACUGGGCUCAUUGGCUCACCUUUCCGGAUCCGGAUCAGGAUUCAGGAUCAGUUUAGGAUUAGGCUUCAGGAUGGAUACAUGGAGCACGACCCCGGCCCUGUCCACCUUACCCCGGCUAACCGGAAACCUCUCAGUAAACGAGAUAAAUCAAACUGAUUUGGCUUUCGGAAUUAUCAAAAUUAUUCCUUCUUUUUUGGUCUGGGACACCAGAGACGCAGUUACUGGCGGCAGAGUGGGGAAACCAUUUCUCUUUUUUUAUUUUUUUAUUUUUUAAUUAUAAAAAGAAGAGCAAAGCUUGGAUAGGAUCCAGUAGGAGGGCAUGGAGGUGCAGGAUGGAUCCCACGCGUAAGGAGAGUGGUAAAUUGUGGGGAACAUUUGUCAGGGGGCGAGGGAGGUGUGGUUGGUAAAAUGAAAGGAUGCUCAAAAUGGUAUGACUUUUCUUGGUUCAGUCAUUUCCAAAGAUGGAUGAUUUGUGAUUUUCAGUAUUUCACUGCUUAUUUCUCUUUUAAUAAAACAUUCAGUAACAAUAA